UUGAUUGUCAACACUCAAGAGUGACCUGGAGCAGAGACAGUGGUGCUGUUCUUGAGAAGGCUUCUCGGGGCAUAGCAGUCCACAGCACACCCAAUGAGACACAGUAUUGAGAUGGAAAUUCCAGUCUGAGGAGGGUGUGAGUCAUGAGUUGCUGACUCAUGAGACAGAGAGAUGCUGAAGUUUAGCCAGGUAAGAAUGCCCCUUGUCUUGCAAACACUGUGAAGCAUGUGUGUAUUUGUGUUUGCAGGAUCGGGGUUUAA
rnacentral:lncRNA from 1 species